rnacentral:rRNA from 1 species
UACGUAGGGGGCGAGCGUUGUCCGGAAUCAUUGGGCGUAAAGCGCGUGUAGGCGGGAGGCCAAGUCUGCGGUGAAAUCGCUCGGCUCAACUGGGCGGGGUCCGUGGAAACUGGUCACCUGGAGGACGGUAGAGGCGAGUGGAAUUCCCGGUGUAGUGGUGAAAUGCGCAGAUAUCAGGAGGAACACCAAUGGCGAAGGCAGCUCGCUGGGACGGUACUGACGCUGAGGCGCGAAAGCGUGGGGAGCAAACAGG